UACGGAGGAUGCAAGCGUUAUCCGGAAUGAUUGGGCGUAAAGCGUCCGCAGGUGGCUGUGUAAGUCUGCUGUUAAAGAGUGAGGCUCAACCUCAUAAAGGCAGUGGAAACUACAUGGCUAGAGUGCGUUCGGGGCAGAGGGAAUUCCUGGUGUAGCGGUGAAAUGCGCAGAUAUCAGGAAGAACACCCGUGGCGAAGGCGGCUCUCUGGGACGGUACUGACGCUGAGACGCGAAAGCGUGGGGAGCGAACAGG
rnacentral:rRNA from 1 species